rnacentral:rRNA from 1 species
GAUGAACGCUGGCGGCGUGCCUAAUACAUGCAAGUUGAGCGAAGAGACGAGGAGCUUGCUCCUAUGAGGUGAGCGGCGGACGGGUGAGUAACACGUGGAGAACCUGCCUAUAAGACUGGGAUAACUUCGGGAAACGAGAGCUAAUACCGGAUAAUAUAUUUAACCGCAUGGUUCAAUAGUGAAAGACGGUAUUGCUGUCACUUAUAGAUGGAUCCGCGCGGCUUUACCUAUUGGGGAAGUUAACGGUUAACCAAGGCAACAAAGCUAACCGGCCCUGAAGGGUGGUCCGCCCACGCGGGAACUAGACCACGCCCCAGCCCCCUCCGGGAGGAACCAGUAGGGAAUCUUCCGCAAUGAGGAAAAUCCUAACGGAGAAACCCCGCGUGAGUGAUGAAGGUCUCCGGAUCGUAAACCUCUGUUAUUAGGGAAGAACAAAUGUGUAAGUAACUAUGCACGUCUUGACGGUACCUAAUCAGAAAGCCACGGCUAACUACGUG